rnacentral:rRNA from 1 species
GACGAACGCUGGCGGCGUGCUUAACACAUGCAAGUCGAACGGAAAGACCCUGCUUUUGUGGGGUGCUCGAGUGGCGAACGGGUGAGUAACACGUGAGUAACCUGCCCUUGACUUUGGGAUAACUUCAGGAAACUGGGGCUAAUACCGGAUAGGAGCUCCUGCUGCAUGGUGGGGGUUGGAAAGUUUCGGCGGUUGGGGAUGGACUCGCGGCUUAUCAGCUUGUUGGUGGGGUAGUGGCUUACCAAGGCUUUGACGGGUAGCCGGCCUGAGAGGGUGACCGGCCACAUUGGGACUGAGAUACGGCCCCGACUCCUACGGGAGGCAGCAGUGGGGAAUAUUGCACAAUGGGCGGAAGCCUGAUGCAGCAACGCCGCGUGCGGGAUGACGGCCUUCGGGUUGUAAACCGCUUUCGCCUGUGACGAAGCGUGAGUGACGGUAAUGGGUAAAGAAGCACCGGCUAACUACGUG